rnacentral:rRNA from 1 species
CCUACACGACCGUACCGCAAACCGACACUGGUGCGCGAGAUGAGUAUUCUAAGGCGCUUGAGAGAACUCAGGAGAAGGAACUCGGCAAAUUGACACCGUAACUUCGGAAGAAGGUGUGCCUUUAGUAGGUGAAGUCCCUCGCGGAUGGAGCCCAAUGAGGUUGCAAAAAAUCGGUGGCUGCGACUGUUUAUUAAAAACACAGCACUCUGCAAACACGAAAGUGGACGUAUAGGGUGUGACGCCUGCCUGGUGCUGGAAGAUUAAAUGAUGGGGUGCAAGCUCUUGAUUGAAGUCCCAGUAAACGGCGGCCGUAACUAUAACGGUCCUAAGGUAGCGAAAUUCCUUGUCGGGUAAGUUCCGACCUGCACGAAUGGCGUAACGAUGGCCACACUGUCUCCUCCUGAGACUCAGCGAAGUUGAAAUGUUUGUGAUGAUGCAAUCUCCCCGCGGAAAGACGGAAAGACCCCAUGAACCUUUACUGUAGCUUUGUAUUGGACUUUGAACAGAUCUGUGUAGGAUAGGUGGGAGGCUUUGAAGCAGGGUCGCUAGAUCUUGUGGAGCCAACGUUGAAAUACCACCCUGGUGUGUUUGAGGUUCUAACCUAGGCCCGUAAUCCGGGUUGGGGACAGUGCAUGGUAGGCAGUUUGACUGGGGCGGUCUCCUCCCAAAGUGUAACGGAGGAGUUCGAAGGUACGCUAGUUACGGUCGGACAUCGUGACGAUAGUGCAAUGGCAUAAGCGUGCUUAACUGCGAGACUGACAAGUCGAGCAGAUGCGAAAGCAGGACAUAGUGAUCCGGUGGUUCUGUAUGGAAGGGCCAUCGCUCAACGGAUAAAAGGUACUCUGGGGAUAACAGGCUGAUACCGCCCAAGAGUUCAUAUCGACGGCGGUGUUUGGCACCUCGAUGUCGGCUCAUCUCAUCCUGGGGCUGUAGCCGGUCCCAAGGGUAUGGCUGUUCGCCAUUUAAAGAGGUACGUGAGCUGGGUUUAAAACGUCGUGAGACAGUUUGGUCCCUAUCUUCCGUGGGCGCUGCAGAUUUGAGGAAGCCUGCUCCUAGUACGAGAGGACCGGAGUGGACGCACCUCUGGUGUAUCGGUUGUCACGCCAGUGGCAUUGCCGAGUAGCUAUGUGCGGAAGAGAUAACCGCUGAAAGCAUCUAAGCGGGAAACUCGUUUCAAGAUGAGAUCUGCCGGGGCCUUGAGCCCCCUGAAGAGUCGUUCAAGACCAGGACGUUGAUAGGUCGGGUGUGGAAGCGCAGUAAUGCGUUAAGCUAACCGAUACUAAUUGCUCGUGCGGCUUGACCAA